rnacentral:lncRNA from 1 species
GGAUCGGAAUAAACAUACCUGAAGGGGCAGCAGAGGAAUCGGGAGGUAACGAUACGGAUGUUGUCGACGGCCAUGACCGACCUCUACCUCCUCCGACGGAAGUGCUCUCUCUAUUCAGACGGGACGCUAGGUAAGGGAGAGAAGAAAAGAUUAGGGAGGGUUUCGCCAAAUUUCAGAGAGAAGAUAGAGAAUUGGGUGGGAUAGCAUGUAAGGGAGAGAACAAAAGAUUAGAGAGGAUUAGAGUGUAGGUGAAGGGUGAGUUUGGGCGGGAUUUUUUUUAUCCUAAGAUGGAGUAUGAGCCAUUAGAUUAAGUGAGAUAAAAUCACAGCCGUUCUUGUGCUUUCUCAACUUUUGAAGUGGAAAAAGAUUCAAAUUUGGUUGUGUUUUAUUAUAUAGAUAUAAAAUUGCCUUUCAAGAUUAAAUAGGCUAACUGCCCUAUUACAAGCAGUAUUUUAAAAAUUCUUCUAGGUCUGCCAAGGCAGAAUUGAUCCUCAGCCUCGAUUAGACCCUAGUCGUUUACGUUGAAACUUAAUUACUUUCAACUUUUUAUUUUAAAAAUUAUUAAUUGCAGUCCUUGACCUUGACAUUGUAUUUUCUUAUUGUUUUCUGAUGUAUGCUGGUUUUGUUUAUUUUUGUCUGAAGUCUUGGUAUAUCAUCAUUUUUGCAGAAUUCUGGAUCCAAAUCUGUGAGCAACAUGGCAAAUUUCCAAGCUGCCUGGAAGUAUCUUCCUGGUGCUUCACUUUUAGAAACCUCGAAAUUCGAAAGAAGCAAACAUGUGUAAAUAACUCAAAUUCAAAUCUGUAGGAGUACUGCCAAGCUUUUUGAGCAAGUAGAUUUGCAAAAUAGUGUUGUUUAUUUUCUUUAUUGGCCAAUUUGAUUAGUAUUGUCUACAUAACUAUCUUUAUCUUUCGGGGAAAAAAAACAAAAACAAUUGUGUAUGUUUUAUAUAUUGUAGCACUAUACUUUCUCAUCUUCUUAAGGAAUUGUUUUACGUAGUGCAAGAGAAAGAAAGUAGAAUAUGGUAACUAGAAUAUAUUUAUUUUCAGAUUGGUCAGAUAUAAAUUCAAGUACUUAUGCUGUAGUUGGACAGGACUAAAUGUGCUGGCCGGAGUUGGGCUUCUUUCUACUACACCUAAUAAACGUUGUGUAAGGUGUUAAUAGACAAUAUUUUUUACAAAAUAAACGUUGUUGCUUGUUAAAGUAGAAAUUCAAAAAUGUUGUAUAUAUGAAUUUAUUACAACGUUUUUUUAGUAAAAAACGUUGUGGAAUUAAACUAUCUACAACGUUUUUGCACAUCCAAGACUUUAUGGAAAACAAAUAGACAAUGCAUCCAAAACUUCUUAAACUAAUGUAGAGGUACUGCCGUCUGAUAGGUUAAACAUCAAAUUAUAAUACUAACACAUUAU